rnacentral:rRNA from 1 species
AAAUUGAAGAGUUUGAUCAUGGCUCAGAUUGAACGCUGGCGGCAGGCCUAACACAUGCAAGUCGAACGGUAACAGGAAGCAGCUUGCUGCUUCGCUGACGAGUGGCGGACGGGUGAGUAAUGUCUGGGAAACUGCCUGAUGGAGGGGGAUAACUACUGGAAACGGUGGCUAAUACCGCAUAACGUCGCAAGACCAAAGAGGGGGACCUUCGGGCCUCUUGCCAUCAGAUGUGCCCAGAUGGGAUUAGCUAGUUGGUGAGGUAACGGCUCACCAAGGCGACGAUCCCUAGCUGGUCUGAGAGGAUGACCAGCCACACUGGAACUGAGACACGGUCCAGACUCCUACGGGAGGCAGCAGUGGGGAAUAUUGCACAAUGGGCGCAAGCCUGAUGCAGCCAUGCCGCGUGUAUGAAGAAGGCCUUCGGGUUGUAAAGUACUUUCAGCGGGGAGGAAGGUG